UGUGGCUUGCAAGGGAGUUCUCGAAAGAGGGCUGAGAGGAGGGUGUUUCCCUCGACCUCACCUGAUUUGGGUAAUGCCAACGUAGGGAUGCAACGAAGAUCGAUCU
rnacentral:ncRNA from 2 species